GAUGAACGCUGGCGGCGUGCCUAAUACAUGCAAGUCGAGCGAACAGAUGAGGAGCUUGCUCCUCUGACGUUAGCGGCGGACGGGUGAGUAACACGUGGAUAACCUACCUAUAAGACUGGGAUAACUUCGGGAAACCGGAGCUAAUACCGGAUAAUAUAUUGAACCGCAUGGUUCAAUAGUGAAAGACGGUUUUGCUGUCACUUAUAGAUGGAUCCGCGCCGCAUUAGCUAGUUGGUAAGGUAACGGCUUACCAAGGCAACGAUGCGUAGCCGACCUGAGAGGGUGAUCGGCCACACUGGAACUGAGACACGGUCCAGACUCCUACGGGAGGCAGCAGUAGGGAAUCUUCCGCAAUGGGCGAAAGCCUGACGGAGCAACGCCGCAUGAGUGAUGAAGGUCUUCGGAUCGUAAAACUCUGUUAUUAGGAAAGAACAAAUGUGUAAGUAACUAUGCAUGUCUUGACGGUACCUAAUCAGAAAGCCACGGCUAACUACGUG
rnacentral:rRNA from 1 species